CUACAUUCGUAAGAAUCAUUAAGGUAUCUGCUUCAAUCAGCGUUGCUAAUUUCUCACUAGCAAAAUCUUUAUCUAUAACCGCUUCAACACCUUCAUAGGUAUUUUCUUUUUUUAUAACUGGAAUACC
rnacentral:sRNA from 1 species